GACGAACCGUGCAAACGUUGUUCGGAUUCACUGGGCUUAAAGGGCGCGUAGGCGGGUGGUCAAGUCGGGGGUGAAAUCUUUCAGCUUAACUGGAAAAUAGCUUCCGAUACUGGCCGUCUUGAGGGAGGUAUGGGCAUGUGGAACUUCCGGUGGAGCGGUGAAAUGCGUAGAUAUCGGAAGGAACGCCGGUGGCGAAAGCGACGUGCUGGACCUUUUCUGACGCUGAGGCGCGAAAGCCAGGGGAGCAAACGGG
rnacentral:rRNA from 1 species